AAAGUUACCUCAAAGAUAUAAAAGGCGAGCAGGCGAGAGGCUGAGUUGCAGAGGAGUGGAAGGGAACCCACUGGAACAACCUCUGCCACCUCCGAGCCUGCUGAGCCAGCCUCUCUCUGCCCACCGAGCAGCCACCGCGGACCCAACACACCGGACUUCGAAGCCAGCGAGAGCAAUUUCCCGUCCGAGGAGCAAGAAACAAGAGCGGGGAGAUCACGGAGAAAAUUCGAUCAAAUUUGCCAAGAUUCAACUUUCCUUUCGUAGCUCACCGUGACCUGGAAGAAGUUUCCCGGCUAGGCCAAGUCAAUCAAGCCGGAGGGCCCCGCCCCGCACCCCUGGGUGCUCGGGCCCCGCGCAGCAGCUGGGUUGGCGGCUUUUGGAAGCUGGCGCGAGGCUCGAAGGUCUCGCGCGACUCACCGCUCGGCUGUGCCCUAGCAGCACGUCAAAACUGGAGUCAUCUACCCAAAUCCUCCAGUAUUGCCUUGCUGCUUGAGUGAAGUAGGAGCCUAAUUCAUUCGUCUACACGCAAGACCCCGACCCGGCCACCUCGACGAAGCCCACGCAAGCUUAAGAACGCAAGACGUCCUGGGAUCUCCAGGGGCUUGGGAAUGAAUGUAUUUGUGUCCCCCCCCCCCAAUAAAUGUUGUCCCCUUUUUGAGAAAAAAAAAA
rnacentral:sRNA from 1 species